CACCACAAUUCAUGCAGUGUAAGAAAUUAAAAUAAAUUGGCAAGUGCUAAUUAAAUGGUGCGGUUCUAGUUGGUUGUCUUGAGGAUGGUUAUAUGAACACUUUAUUGAUUGGAUUGUUGAGUCAUCUAUUGAAGGUGUAUCCCACAAGAGGCCCUCUUCUGGACGGUUACACCGUUCUCAGUCCCUUAACGGCAACAAAUAACAAAUAGACACGUGAGGAAUCCACAUCUAAAUACUAUAAAUCACAUUAUAGGGGAUAGCAAAGUCCAAUAGGUUAGAAAAAUAGAGAACAAAUUCACUUCGGUACUAUCCCUUGCACUCUGCCGCAUGUCCCCAGUCUGUCGCAGCCCGUCGAGUGCUCCAUCACCUCUCUCUCUCUCUCUGAGAGGAACCACUCCCUCCCUCCCAUCGAGCCCACCCAUUCAAUGUCUAUCUAGAUCUUACAAAAAUCGCAUUGUAUUUUAUAAAUACAAAAAUCAUAGCUCCAUCCAAAAAUUUUCACACUAACAUUUGAAAGAAAUUUGGGGAAGAUUUUUUAAACUGGUAAUCGCAGCUCCAUCCAAAAACUUUUUGGUAGACUGUUGUAAAUUUACAUUAGAAAGAAAGGAAAACUCUCUAUGCAGGAGAGUUCGCGUAGGGAUGCGCACGAAUUGUCUACGUGGAAAUUAAUACGGUGCGUUUCAUCCCCGUUUCACUUAAUUUCCCAAUUUUUGAAACUCAUCUCGUGCACCCCUUCCCAAUUUCCACCCUCUCCCUCCUCCAUCUUCACCCUCAUCCAUCUCUUCAAAAGAUUCAUCACAAACAUUGGAUGGGUUUCUGAACCCUAGCCCCCUCCAUGUCCCUCCUCUAUCUCCUUCGUGUCGCGCCCCGUGAUGGGUUUUUGAACUCUAAGCAGAAGCAGUGGCUUCUCAUUGACACACUGCGGCAGCUUGAGGUCUGUUGGAAGAUAUUGAUCGUUACUAUUAGAAGCAAAUUUGUAGCAUUUGCUUUCAUCCCUCUCUUCAUGACAGGUCGAUUUGUGAACUAUCUAAAAUUUGUAACAUCGGCUUCGAGCAAGGAAUAGAAUUGGGCUAUAGAGAUGUCUUUCUUCUCAGUUCAGUUAUUGCUGUACUUGCAUUGGUUGGCGUAUUCCAAAUUUAGAUAUGGAGGUGGACAAAAGAACAAGAAGCUUCGGAGCCAGAAUUGAACUAGUCCCUUUGAAUAUAUAUGUUUUUACGGUUGCAGCAACAGUUUUUGCUCACAAUAUUCUAAUGUUUUAGAGCCUUCGACGCUUGAUAGAGGAGAAAGAUGCAAUGUAUGGGUAUAAUGGACUGAAAUACUUCUCAAUAAUUGCAGCACUUGCCAUGAGGACAACUUAUGAUUUACAAAGGGGGAUGACUUGGAAGAUAAUGGCAGUGAGUUCAGGUGUUGCAACCAUCAUUGCCACAUAUUGGGACAUUGUCAUAGAUUGGGGUCUUUUGAGAAGGGUAUCUGAUACGAUCAAAAUGAAGCCCCACUUGAUGGAAACUUUCUAUAUUGUACGUAAGGGACUAUUUGGAAUGUAGUGUAUUAUAGAACUAUUUGGAACGUUGUUGUCACUGGAUAUAGGUUGAUUUAAAUCACUAUUAAGUGGGACAAAUGGCAUACUUUCUUGAUUUAACUA